rnacentral:tmRNA from 1 species
GGGGGCGUACUGGUUUCGACAGGGGCAGUUGUGGCAGGAUAAGCGAGUCGGGGUUCCAUCUGCCCGUAAUACGGUGGGACAAAAAGUAAACGCAAACGAAGAAUACGCUUUAGCAGCUUAAUGCUAACGUCCUACUCUCUGCUCCCGCGGUGAGGGAUAGGGCGCAAAUUAGCGGGAUACCCUAGGACUUAUUCUCGGCGGCCCCGGGGGAAAUUUAUCGAGAUAGUGCCAAGGAACCCUGUCUGUGGGGGUCGGCGGUGCGAAUUUUAAAUCAUAGACUGCACUCGGAGAAAGUCUUGUGGCAAUGCUUUUGGACGUGAGUUCGAUUCUCACCGCCUCCACCA